rnacentral:rRNA from 1 species
CCUAGUAACGGCGAGUGAAGCGGCAACAGCUCAAAUUUGAAAUCUGGCUCCUUCGGGGUCCGAGUUGUAAUUUGCAGAAGAUGCUUCUGGUGUGGUCCCGGUCUAAGUCCCUUGGCACAGGACGUCAUAGAGGGUGAGAACCCCGUAUGUGACCGGUGGCCUAUGCCUCUGUGAAGCUCUUUCAACGAGUCGAGUUGUUUGGGAAUGCAGCUCAAAAUGGGUGGUAUAUUCCAUCUAAAGCUAAAUAUUGGCCAGAGACCGAUAGCGCACAAGUAGAGUGAUCGAAAGAUGAAAAGCACUUUGAAAAGAGAGUUAAAUAGUACGUGAAAUUGUUAAAAGGGAAGCUCUUGCUACCAGACGCGGGCGCCGUUGAUCAUCCUAGGUUUUCCUGGGUGCACUCGGCGGUGCUCGGGUCAGCAUCGGUUUUGGUGGUGGGAUAAAGGCCCUGGGAAUGUAGCUCCUCUUCGGGGGAGUGUUAUAGCCCUCGGUGCAAUGCCACCUACCGGGACCGAGGACCGCGCUUCGGCGAGGAUGCUGGCAUAAUGGUCGUAAGCGGCCCGUCUUGAAACACGGACCAAGGAGUCUAACAUCUAUGCGAGUGUUUGGGUGGUAAACCCAUUCGCGGAAUGAAAGUGAACGUAGCUGAGAACCCCUCGGGGCGCACCAGCGACCGAUCCUGAUGUCUUCGGACGGAUUUGAGUAAGAGCAUAGCUGUUGGGACCCGAAAGAUGGUGAACUAUGCUUGCAUAGGGUGAAGCCAGAGGAAACUCUGGUGGAGGCUCGCAGCGGUUCUGACGUGCAAAUCGAUCGUCAAAUGUGGGCAUAGGGGC